ensembl:rRNA 5S_rRNA 5S ribosomal RNA
GCUUACGGCCAUACCACCUUAGGCAUGCCUGAUCUCGUCUGACCUCGGAAGCUAAGCAGGGUCGGGCCUGGUUAGUACUUGGAUGGGUGACCGCCUGGAAAUACCAGGUGCUGUAAGCA